GGGGAGAUGGCAGAGCGGCCGAAUGCGGCGGUCUUGAAAACCGUUGGGCGCUUGCGCGUCCCGAGGGUUCGAAUCCCUCUCUCCCCGCCA
rnacentral:tRNA from 3 species